CCUACGGGAGGCAGCAGUGAGGAAUAUUGGUCAAUGGCCGGAAGGCUGAACCAGCCAUGCCGCGUGAAGGUCAGUGCCCUAUGGGCGUUAAACUUCUUUUGUGCGGGAGCAAUAAUGGUCACGUGUGGCCAGACGAGAGUACCGUACGAAUAAGCAUCGGCUAAAUCCGUGCCAGCAGCCGCGGUAAUACGGGGGAUGCAAGCGUUAUCCGGAUUUAUUGGGGUUAAAGGGUGCGGAGGCUGUGAGGUAAGUCAGCGGUGAAAUGCCCCCGGUCAACGGGGUGAAGUUCCAUUGAUACUGCCUUGCUGGAAUGCGGAUGCCGUUGGAGGAAUGUGUGGUGUAGCGGUGAAAUGCAUAGAUAUCACACAGAACACCGAUUGCGAAGGCAUCUCACGAAUCCGCGAUUGACGCUGAUGCACGAAAGCGUGGGUAUCAAACAGGAUUAGAUACCCCAGUAGUC
rnacentral:rRNA from 1 species